rnacentral:rRNA from 1 species
GAUGAACGCUGGCGGCGUGCUUAACACAUGCAAGUCGAACGAAGCACUUCAAACUUAAUCUUCGGAAGCGGUUUGAUUUGACUGAGUGGCGGACGGGUGAGUAACGCGUGAGUAACCUGCCUUUCAGAGGGGGAUAACAGUUGGAAACGACUGCUAAUACCGCAUAACGUAUCGGAACCGCAUGAUUCUGAUACCAAAGCUGAGGCGCUGAAAGGUGGACUCGCGUCUGAUUAGAUAGUUGGUGAGGUAACGGCUCACCAAGUCGACGAUCAGUAGCCGGACUGAGAGGUUGAACGGCCACAUUGGGACUGAGACACGGCCCAGACUCCUACGGGAGGCAGCAGUGGGGAAUAUUGCACAAUGGGCGAAAGCCUGAUGCAGCAACGCCGCGUGAGGGAAGACGGUUUUCGGAUUGUAAACCUCUGUCUUUGGUGAAGAUAAUGACGGUAGCCAAGGAGGAAGCCACGGCUAACUACGUGCCAGCAGCCGACGG